CGGCGUGCUUAACACAUGCAAGUCGAACGCGAAAGGGACUUCGGUCCUGAGUAAAGUGGCGCACGGGUGAGUAACGCGUAGAUAACCUGUCUUCAUGUCUGGAAUAAUACGCCGAAAGGGGUGCUAAUACCGGAUAUUCUUGCUUUUCAUAAGUUAUGCAAGCAAAGGUGGCCUCUGCAUAUGCUACUGCAUGAAGAGGGGUCUGCGUACCAUUAGCUAGUAGGUGGGGUAAUGGCCUACCUAGGCGACGAUGGUUAGCGGGUCUGAGAGGAUGAUCCGCCACACUGGCACUGGAACACGGGCCAGACUCCUACGGGAGGCAGCAGUGAGGAAUAUUGCGCAAUGGGGGAAACCCUGACGCAGCGACGCCGCGUGAGUGAGGAAAGGCCUUCGGGUCGUAAAGCUCUGUCAAGAGGAAAGAAGUGUACAAUGGCUAAUACCUGUUGUAUUUGACGGUACCUCUAAAGGAAGCACCGGCUAACUCCGUGCCAGCAGCAGC
rnacentral:rRNA from 1 species